rnacentral:rRNA from 1 species
AACGAACGCUGGCGGCAGGCCUAACACAUGCAAGUCGAACGCUGCAGCAAUGCAGAGUGGCAGACGGGUGAGUAACGCGUGGGAACCUUCCCAGUGGUACGGAAUAGCUCAGGGAAACUUGAGGUAAUACCGUAUAAGCCCCUAGGGGGAAAGAUUUAUCGCCAUUGGAUGGGCCCGCGUCGGAUUAGCUAGUUGGUGAGGUAACGGCUCACCAAGGCGACGAUCCGUAGCUGGUCUGAGAGGAUGAUCAGCCACACUGGGACUGAGACACGGCCCA